rnacentral:tRNA from 1 species
AGUUAAUUAGCUUAUAAAGCAUGUAUUUUGAAAAUACAAGAAAAAGAAAUUAAUUCUUUAUUAACUU